CCUACGGGAGGCAGCAGUGGGGAAUUUUGGACAAUGGGCGCAAGCCUGAUCCAGCAAUGCCGCGUGCAGGAUGAAGGCCUUCGGGUUGUAAACUGCUUUUGUACGGAGCGAAACGGUCUGCUUUAAUACAGUGGGCUAAUGACGGUACCGUAAGAAUAAGCACCGGCUAACUACGUGCCAGCAGCCGCGGUAAUACGUAGGGUGCAAGCGUUAAUCGGAAUUACUGGGCGUAAAGCGUGCGCAGGCGGUUAUAUAAGACAGAUGUGAAAUCCCCGGGCUCAACCUGGGACCUGCAUUUGUGACUGUAUAGCUAGAGUACGGUAGAGGGGGAUGGAAUUCCGCGUGUAGCAGUGAAAUGCGUAGAUAUGCGGAGGAACACCGAUGGCGAAGGCAAUCCCCUGGACCUGUACUGACGCUCAUGCACGAAAGCGUGGGGAGCAAACAGGAUUAGAUACCCUGGUAGUCCACGCCCUAAACGAUGUCAACUGGUUGUUGGGUCUUCACUGACUCAGUAACGAAGCUAACGCGUGAAGUUGACCGCCUGGGGAGUACGGCCGCAAGGUUGAAACUCGAAAGGAUUAGACGGCGUGAGAGAGCGACGACGACGACGAGGGAGGAGG
rnacentral:rRNA from 1 species